UACGGAGGGUGCAAGCGUUGCUCGGAAUUAUUGGGCGUAAAGGGUAGGUAGGUGGUCUCGUUUGUCUGGGGUGAAAGCCUUGAGCUUAACUCAAGAAGUGCCUCAGAAACGGCGAGACUAGAGUUCUGGAGAGGGUCGUGGAAUUCCCGGUGUAGCGGUGAAAUGCGUAGAGAUCGGGAGGAACACCAGAGGCGAAGGCGGCGACCUGGACAGAUACUGACACUCAACUACGAAAGCGUGGGUAGCAAACAG
rnacentral:rRNA from 1 species